rnacentral:rRNA from 1 species
GAUGAACGCUAGCUACAGGCUUAACACAUGCAAGUCGAGGGGCAGCAUGGUCUUAGCUUGCUAAGGCCGAUGGCGACCGGCGCACGGGUGAGUAACACGUAUCCAACCUGCCGUCUACUCUUGGACAGCCUUCUGAAAGGAAGAUUAAUACAAGAUGGCAUCAUGAGUCCGCAUGUUCACAUGAUUAAAGGUAUUCCGGUAGACGAUGGGGAUGCGUUCCAUUAGAUAGUAGGCGGGGUAACGGCCCACCUAGUCUUCGAUGGAUAGGGGUUCUGAGAGGAAGGUCCCCCACAUUGGAACUGAGACACGGUCCAAACUCCUACGGGAGGCAGCAGUGAGGAAUAUUGGUCAAUGGGCGAGAGCCUGAACCAGCCAAGUAGCGUGAAGGAUGACUGCCCUAUGGGUUGUAAACUUCUUUUUAUAAAGGAAUAAAGUCGGGUAUGCAUACCCGUUUGCAUGUACUUUAUGAAUAAGGAUCGGCUAACUCCGUGCCAG